rnacentral:rRNA from 1 species
GAUGAACGCUGGCGGCGUGCCUAAUACAUGCAAGUCGAGCGAACAGACGAUGAGCUUGCUCCUCUGACGUUAGCGGCGGACGGGUGAGUAACACGUGUAUAACCUACCUAUAAGACUGGUAUAACUUCGGGAAACCGGAGCUAAUACCGGAUAAUAUAUUGAACCGCAUGGUUCAAUAGUGAAAGACGGUUUUGCUGUCACUUAUAGAUGGAUCUCCGCCGCAUUGGCUAGUUGGUAAGGUAACGGCUUACCAAGGCGACAAUGCGUAGCCGACCUGAGAGGGUGAUCGGCCACACUGGAACUGAGCCACGGUCCAGACUACUACGGGAGGCAGCAGUAGGGAAUCUUCCGCAAUGGGCGAAAGCAUGACGGAGCAACGCCGCGUGAGUGAUGAAGGUCUUCGGAUCGUAAAACUCUGUUAUUAGGGAAGAACAAAUGUGUAAGUAAAUAUGCACGUCUUGACGGUAACUAAUCAGAAAGCCACGGCUAACUACGUG